rnacentral:rRNA from 1 species
GACGAACGCUGGCGGCGUGCCUAAUACAUGCAAGUAGAACGCUGAAGAGAGGAGCUUGCUCUUCUUGGAAGAGUUGCGAACGGGUGAGUAACGCGUAGGUAACCUGCCUUGUAGCGGGGGAUAACUAUUGGAAACGAUAGCUAAUACCGCAUAACAAUGGAUGACCCAUGUCAUUUAUUUGAAAGGGGCAACUGCUCCACUACAAGAUGGACCUGCGUUGUAUUAGCUAGUAGGUGAGGUAACGGCUCACCUAGGCGACGAUACAUAGCCAACCUGAGAGGGUGAUCGGCCACACUGGGACUGAGACACGGCCCAGACUCCUACGGGAGGCAGCAGUAGGGAAUCUUCGGCAAUGGGGGCAACCCUGACCGAGCAACGCCGCGUGAGUGAAGAAGGUUUUCGGAUCGUUAAGCUCUGUUGUAAGUCAAGAACGAGUGUGAGAGUGGAAAGUUCACACUGUGACGGUAGCUUACCAGAAAGGGACGGCUAACUACGUGCCAGCCGCCGCAGUAA